CAAUAAGCGGAGGAAAAGAAACCAACAGGGAUUGCCCCAGUAACGGCGAGUGAAGCGGCAACAGCUCAGAUUUGGAAUCUGGCCCCCAGGGCCCGAGUUGUAAUCUGGAGAGGAUGCUUCUGGCGCGGCGCCUUCCGAGUUCCCUGGAACGGGACGCCGGAGAGGGUGAGAGCCCCGUACGGUCGGACGCCUAGCCUUUGGUGAAGCUCCUUCGACGAGUCGAGUAGUUUGGGAAUGCUGCUCAAAAUGGGAGGUAAAUUUCUUCUAAAGCUAAAUAUUGGCCAGAGACCGAUAGCGCACAAGUAGAGUGAUCGAAAGAUGAAAAGCACUUUGAAAAGAGGGUUAAACAGUACGUGAAAUUGUUGAAAGGGAAGCGCCCGUGGCCAGACUUGUGCCCCGCGGACCACCCGGCGCCCUCAGCGCCGGUGCACUCCGCGGGGCGCAGGCCAGCAUCGGUUUUUCCAGGGGGACAAAGGCGGCGGGAACGUGGCUCCCUCGGGAGUGUUAUAGCCCGCCGCGCCAUGCCCCUGGGGGGACCGAGG
rnacentral:rRNA from 1 species